GGGGUUGUGGCUCAGUGAUAGAGCACUCACCUUGCAAAUGUGAGGUGCUGGGUUUGAUCCUCAGCACCA
rfam:Ictidomys tridecemlineatus contig043519, whole genome shotgun sequence.